AUACUUAUCUGACAGGGGAAAUUCCAUGAUCACAAAGGUGGUUUUCCCAGGCCAAGGCAUCUCCAAUGCACUCUGGAUGUGCUGACCCCUGCGAUUUCCCUAAAUGUGGAAACCUGAUUUUAUGAGAGUGAUAGUGGACACUGCAUUCAUGCUCUCCCAGA